rfam:Schistocephalus solidus strain NST_G2 genome assembly, scaffold: SSLN_scaffold0005343
CCUCGUAGCUCAGUUGGUUAGAGCGUUAGCUGUACUAAAGCCUUCCCCUUGCUGGCGUGGGUUCAAAUCCCACCGAGG